GACGAACCGUGCGAACGUUGUUCGGAAUCACUGGGCUUAAAGGGCGCGUAGGCGGGCGAUCAAGUCAGGGGUGAAAUCCGUCGGCUUAACCGGCGAAGGGCUUCUGAUACUGGUCGCCUCGAGGGAGGUAGGGGCAUGCGGAACUUCCGGUGGAGCGGUGAAAUUCGUAGAUAUUCGGAAGAACACCAGUGGCGAAGGCGGCUCACUGGUCCGGUACUGACGCUGAGGUGCGAAAGCGUGGGGGAGCAAACAGG
rnacentral:rRNA from 1 species